rnacentral:tRNA from 1 species
GCACUGGUAGUAUAGUGGUUAAUACUUUGCUUUCCCACCUUCCUAUUUAGGAAACCUUUGGACCAAGCAACAGCCCGGGUUCGAAUCCCGGCCAGUGCA